rnacentral:rRNA from 1 species
UGAACUCGAAGAGUAGGGCGGGACACGUGGUAUCCUGUCUGAAUAUGGGGGGACCAUCCUCCAAGGCUAAAUACUCCUGACUGACCGAUAGUGAACCAGUACCGUGAGGGAAAGGCGAAAAGAACCCCGGCGAGGGGAGUGAAAAAGAACCUGAAACCGUGUACGUACAAGCAGUGGGAGCACCUUCGGGUGUGACUGCGUACCUUUUGUAUAAUGGGUCAGCGACUUAUAUUCUGUAGCAAGGUUAACCGUAUAGGGGAGCCGCAGGGAAACCGAGUCUUAACUGGGCGUUAAGUUGCAGGGUAUAGACCCGAAACCCGGUGAUCUAGCCAUGGGCAGGUUGAAGGUUGGGUAACACUAACUGGAGGACCGAACCGACUAAUGUUGAAAAAUUAGCGGAUGACUUGUGGCUGGGGGUGAAAGGCCAAUCAAACCGGGAGAUAGCUGGUUCUCCCCGAAAGCUAUUUAGGUAGCGCCUCGUGAACUCAUCUUCGGGGGUAGAGCACUGUUUCGGCUAGGGGGUCAUCCCGACUUACCAACCCGAUGCAAACUACGAAUACCGAAGAAUGUUAUCACGGGAGACACACGGCGGGUGCUAACGUCCGUCGUGAAGAGGGAAACAACCCAGACCGCCAGCUAAGGUCCCAAAGUCAUGGUUAAGUGGGAAACGAUGUGGGAAGGCACAGACAGCCAGGAUGUUGGCUUAGAAGCAGCCAUCAUUUAAAGAAAGCGUAAUAGCUCACUGGUCGAGUCGGCCUGCGCGGAAGAUGUAACGGGGCUAAACCAUGCACCGAAGCUGCGGCAGCGACACUAUGUGUUGUUGGGUAGGGGAGCGUUCUGUAAGCCUGCGAAGG